rnacentral:rRNA from 1 species
AGUGAACGCUGGCGGUAGGCCUAACACAUGCCAGUCGAACGGCAGCACAGUAAGAGCUUGCUCUUACGGGUGGCGAGUGGCGGACGGGUGAGGAAUACAUCGGAAUCUACUUUUUCGUGGGGGAUAACGUAGGGAAACUUACGCUAAUACCGCAUACGACCUACGGGUGAAAGCAGGGGAUCUUCGGACCUUGCGCGAUUGAAUGAGCCGAUGUCGGAUUAGCUAGUUGGCGGGGUAAAGGCCCACCAAGGCGCCGAUCCGUAGCUGGUCUGAGAGGAUGAUCAGCCACACUGGAACUGAGACACGGUCCAGACCCCUACGGGAGGCAGCAGUGGGGAAUAUUGGACAAUGGGCGCAAGCCUGAUCCAGCCAUACCGCGUGGGUGAAGAAGGCCUUCGGGUUGUAAAGCCCUUUUGUUGGGAAAGAAAAGCAGCAGGUUAAUACCCCGCUGUUCUGACGGUACCCAAAGAAUAAGCACCGGCUAACUUCGUG